GAUGAACGCUGGCGGCGUGCUUAACACAUGCAAGUCGAACGGAAAGGCUCCUGCUUGCAGGGGUACUCGAGUGGCGAACGGGUGAGUAACACGUGGGUGAUCUGCCCUGCACUUCGGGAUAAGCCUGGGAAACUGGGUCUAAUACCGGAUAGGACGAUGGUUUGGAUGCCAUUGUGGAAAGUUUUUCGGUGUGGGAUGAGCUCGCGGCCUAUCAGCUUGUUGGUGGGGUAAUGGCCUACCAAGGCGUCGACGGGUAGCCGGCCUGAGAGGGUGUACGGCCACAUUGGGACUGAGAUACGGCCCAGACUCCUACGGGAGGCAGCAGUGGGGAAUAUUGCACAAUGGGCGCAAGCCUGAUGCAGCGACGCCGCGUGGGGGAUGACGGCCUUCGGGUUGUAAACGCCUUUCGCUAGGGACGAAGCGCAAGUGACGGUACCUGGAGAAGAAGCACCGGCUAACUACGUG
rnacentral:rRNA from 1 species